rnacentral:ncRNA from 1 species
CGUUGGAAUAUUGAUGAGAGCCGCUCUUAGUACGAGAGGACCGGAGUGGACGUACCACUGGUGUUCCAGUUGUUCCGCCAGGAGCAUAGCUGGGUAGCUAAGUACGGAAAGGAUAACCGCUGAAAGCAUCUAAGUGGGAAGCCUCCUCAGAGAUAAGUAUUCCCUUGAGAUUCCUUAUAGACUAUGAGGUUGAUAGGUUGGAGGUGUAAGCGUAGUAAUACGUUGAGCUGACCAAUACUAAUAAAUCGA